rnacentral:rRNA from 1 species
GUCGAGCGGUAACAGGGGUAGCUUGCUACCCGCUGACGAGCGGCGGACGGGUGAGUAAUGCAUGGGUAUCUGCCCGGUAGUGGGGGAUAACUCGGGGAAACCCGAGCUAAUACCGCAUACGUCCUACGGGAGAAAGCAGGGGAUCUUCGGACCUUGCGCUAUCGGAUGAGCCCAUGUCGGAUUAGCUUGUUGGUGAGGUAACGGCUCACCAAGGCAACGAUCCGUAGCUGGUCUGAGAGGAUGAUCAGCCACACCGGGACUGAGACACGGCCCGGACUCCUACGGGAGGCAGCAGUGGGGAAUAUUGGACAAUGGGGGAAACCCUGAUCCAGCCAUGCCGCGUGUGUGAAGAAGGCCUUCGGGUUGUAAAGCACUUUCAGUGGGGAAGAAGGCAUGGUGGUUAAUAACCACCAUGAAGGACAUCACCCACACAAGAAGCACCGGCUAACUCCGUGCCAGCAGCCGCGGUAAUACGGAGGGUGCAAGCGUUAAUCGGAAUUACUGGGCUUAAAGGGCGCGUAGGCGGCUUGCCAAGCCGGAUGUGAAAGCCCCGGGCUCAACCCGGGAACGGCAUUCUGAACUGGCAGGCUAGAGUGCAGAGAGGAAGGUGGAAUUCCCGGUGUAGCGGUGAAAUGCGUAGAGAUCGGGAGGAAUMCCAGUGGMGAAGGCGGCCUUCUGGACUGACACUGACGWUGAGGCGCGAAAGCGUGGGUAGCAAACAGGAUUAGAUACCCUGGUAGUCCACGCCGUAAUCGAUGUCGACCAGCCGUUGGACCCCUUGAGGGUUUGGUGGCGCAGUUAACGCAAUAAGUCGACCGCCUGGGGAGUACGGCCGCAAGGCUAAAACUCAAAUGAAUUGACGGGGGCCCGCACAAGCGGUGGAGCAUGUGGUUUAAUUCGAUGCAACGCGAAGAACCUUACCUGCUCUUGACAUCCUGCGAAUUUCCCAGAGAUGGGAAAGUGCCUUCGGGAACGCAGAGACAGGUGCUGCAUGGCUGUCGUCAGCUCGUGUUGUGAAAUGUUGGGUUAAGUCCCGUAACGAGCGCAACCCCUAUCCCUUUUUGCCAGCGGUCCGGCCGGGAACUUCAGGGAGACUGCCGGUGACAAACCGGAGGAAGGUGGGGACGACGUCAAGUCAUCAUGGCCCUUACGAGCAGGGCUACACACGUGCUACAAUGGCCGGUACAAAGGGUUGCGAAGCGGCGACGUGAAGCCAAUCCCAUAAAGCCGGCCUCAGUCCGGAUCGGAGUCUGCAACUCGACUCCGUGAAGUCGGAAUCGCUAGUAAUCGUGGAUCAGAAUGCCACGGUGAAUACGUUCCCGGCCUUGUACACACCGCCCGUCACACCAUGGGAGUGGACUGCACCAGAAGUGGUUAGCUUAACCUUCGGAGAG